AGUGAACGCUGGCGGUAGGCCUAACACAUGCAAGUCGAACGGCAGCACAGUAAGAGCUUGCUCUUACGGGUGGCGAGUGGCGGACGGGUGAGGAAUACAUCGUAAUCUACUUUUUCGUGGGGGAUAACGUAGGGAAACUUACGCUAAUACCGCAUACGACCUACGGGUGAAAGCAGUGGAUCUUCGGACCUUGCGCGAUUGAAUGAGCCGAUGUCGGAUUAGCUAGUUGGCGGGGUAAAGGCCCACCAAGGCGACGAUCCGUAGCUGGUCUGAGAGGAUGAGCAGCCACACUGGAACGGAGAAACGGUACAGAGACCUACGGGAGGCAGCAGUGGGGAAUAUUGGACAAUGGGCGCAAGCAUGAUCCAGCAAUACCGCGUGGGUGAAGAAGGCCUUCGGGUUGUAAAGCCCUUUUGUUGGGAAAGAAAAGAAGCAGGUUAAUACCCCGCUGUUAUGACGGUACCCAAAGAAUAAGCACCGGCUAACUUCGUG
rnacentral:rRNA from 1 species